rnacentral:tRNA from 1 species
GGGCACUUGGUCUAGGGGUAUGAUUUUCGUUUCGCAUCAUUGAGUUGAUGUGGAUAUACGAAAGGUCGUGGGUUCAAUUCCCACAGUGUCCA